rnacentral:rRNA from 1 species
AAAAGAGAGUUAAAAAGUACGUGAAAUUGUUGAAAGGGAAGCGUUUAUGACCAGACUUGGGCUUGGUUAAUCAUCUGGGGUUCUCCCCAGUGCACUUUUCCAGUUCAGGCCAGCAUCAGUUUUCGCCGGGGGAUAAAGACUUCGGGAAUGUGGCUCCUCUCGGGGAGUGUUAUAGCCCGUUGUGUAAUACCCUGGCGGGGACUGAGGUUCGCGCUUCUGCAAGGAUGCUGGCGUAAUGG